rnacentral:rRNA from 1 species
AUUGAACGCUGGCGGCAGGCCUAACACAUGCAAGUCGAGCGGAGCGGCGGACGGGUGUGUAAUGCCUAGGAAUCUGCCUGGUAGUUGGGGAUAACGUCCGGAAACGGGCGCUAAUACCGCAUACUAUCAGAUGAGCCUAGGUGGGUUUAGCUAGUUGGUGGGGUAAAGGCCUACCAAGGCGACGAUCCGUAACUGGUCUGAAAGGAUGAUCAGUCACACUGGAACUGAAACACGGUCAAGGCGCCUGCGGGAGGCAGCAGUGGGGAAUAUUGGACAAUGGGCGGGAGCCUGAUCCAGCCAUGCCACGUGUGUGAAGAAGGUCUUCGGAUUGUAAAGCACGUUAAGUUGGGAGGCGUUACCAGCAGAAUAAGCACCGGCUAACUUCGUGCCAGCAGCCGCGGUAAUUC